UGCGCAGGCGGUUAUGUAAGACAGAGGUGAAAUCCCCGGGCUCAACCUGGGAACGGCCUUUGUGACUGCAUAGCUAGAGUACGGCAGAGGGGGAUGGAAUUCCGCGUGUAGCAGUGAAAUGCGUAGAUAUGCGGAGGAACACCGAUGGCGAAGGCAGUCCCCUGGGCCUGUACUGACGCUCAUGCACGAAAGCGUGGGGAGCAAACAGGAUUAGAUACCCUGGUAGUCCACGCCCUAAACGAUGUCAACUGGUUGUUGGGUCUUAGCUGACUCAGUAACGAAGCUAACGCGUGAAGUUGACCGCCUGGGGAGUACGGCCGCAAGGUUGAA
rnacentral:rRNA from 1 species